rnacentral:rRNA from 1 species
ACUCAAAUGAAUUGACGGGGGCCCGCACAAGCGGUGGAGCAUGUGGUUUAAUUCGAUGCAACGCGAAGAACCUUACCUACUCUUGACAUCCAGCGAACUUAGCAGAGAUGCUUUGGUGCCUUCGGGAACGCUGAGACAGGUGCUGCAUGGCUGUCGUCAGCUCGUGUUGUGAAAUGUUGGGUUAAGUCCCGCAACGAGCGCAACCCUUAUCCUUUGUUGCCAGCGAUUCGGUCGGGAACUCAAAGGAGACUGCCGGUGAUAAACCGGAGGAAGGUGGGGAUGACGUCAAGUCAUCAUGGCCCUUACGAGUAGGGCUACACACGUGCUACAAUGGCGCAUACAAAGAGAAGCGACCUCGCGAGAGCAAGCGGACCUCACAAAGUGCGUCGUAGUCCGGAUCGGAGUCUGCAACUCGACUCCGUGAAGUCGGAAUCGCUAGUAAUCGUGGAUCAGAAUGCCACGGUGAAUACGUUCCCGGGCCUUGUACACACCGCCCGU